UACGUAGGGGGCAAGCGUUAUCCGGAUUUAUUGGGUGUAAAGGGUGCGUAGGCGGGAAAGCAAGUUGAAUGUGAAAUACCGGGGCUCAACUCCGGGGCUGCGUUCAAAACUGUUUUUCUUGAGUACAGCAGAGGCAAGCGGAAUUCCCGGUGUAGCGGUAAUAUGCGUAGAUAUUGGGAGGAACACCGGUGGCGAAGGCGGCUUGCUGGGCUGCAACUGACGCUGAAGCACGAAAGUGUGGGGAGCAAACAGGAUUAGAUACCCUGGUAGUCCACACUGUAAACGAUGAUUACUAGGUGUGGGGAGAUUGACCCUCUCCGUGCCGCAGUUAACACAAUAAGUAAUCCACCUGAGUAGUACGGCCGCAAGGUUGAA
rnacentral:rRNA from 1 species